GCUCACCCACCUGCACUCUCCUCCACGCCCUGCGAACCCAGAGUUCCCGGACGUCCUCAUACCUGCCUCCCUUGAACCCACAAACAUGGCCACUGACUGACUGAAGCGGCACAAGGCAUGGUUCUCAGUGCAUUCACGAAGCUGUACAGCUACCGUCACGACGAGGGUCAAGUGUUCACCGGCAUCAGAAAGGAAGAGCAUCUCCCUCGCCUCAACAGAGAGCUCCCUGCCCACUGCUCUAACCACACCCAGACCGACUUCUGUGACCGUGUCCCCCAAUUCUGACCUUAGAGGCCUCUUCACACCAUGGAGCCUGCCAGGCCCCUCCCAGGCUUAGCUUUCCCACAAGUCCCCACGGUCCACUGUGAAGUCCACAGAAGCUGCCCUGCCGGCCCCUGGGCAUCAGUCCCCAGUCCCCCAGUGCUCUGCAGGAACUCCCUUCCGCCCACUUCCAGUGAGGGGCCUGCUAACACCCUCUCCCCUCCACACUCAAAACCAGGCAGAAGGGCAGGGCCCAGGGCCCCGGCACUUAGACAUGAUCACUUUGAUCUCUGGCUGCGCCCCUGCAGAAACCUCUGCUACACUGAUGUGCUACGUGCCCAAAGAACAGGGUCCACUUCCACCCGAGGCCAGUGUCACGGUCGCCCAGCCACAUCUUCAGGUUAUUAAUCACUUUCCCCCCUUUUUGGUACUGGGGAUGGAGCCAGGGCCCCUCCCGUGCUCGGCAAGCGCUCCACCACGGAGCCCCAACCCAGCCCUCACAACUCCCUUUUUAAAUUUUGUUGAGACAGCGUCGCACUGAGUCGCCCAGGCUGGCGUCGAACUUGUGAUCCUCCUGCCUCAGCUUCCCGAGUCACUGGGGUCACAGCCACCGAGUCUGCUCCAUUCUUAAUCAGCUACAGUUCUCUCUACAUUAACACCAAGGGGAUGCUCUGAGAUCCUACAGGAAGGCACACUCCUAGGGAACUUGAGACCCAUUAGCAGCGCUAGCGAUUUAAGAAAUGAUGAAAGAAAAAGAGGGAAAACAGUCCAUUUUCGUGAACUGUUAAAGAUUUUCCGAGAGGGUGGACUUUCGGAGGACUCCUCUAGGAACAAACUCCAAGCUGACCACCUGUUGGAAUGCGGCCACCGAGUGCAGACGCGCCCUGUGCACCCGGCGAGUGCUGAGAGGUCACUACACGCUCACCGUCCGUGGGUGUGGCUGGAUUUCAUUAAGAUAUACUUUUUAAGUGUUUUUUAAAAGAAGGACCAGUACACAGUUACGUCCUUCCCUUCUCCAGAGGGAGCUGCGGCGGGACGUGGCUGUCACUCUCACGCAGGUGCUCACACUUGCUGCCGCAGAGGGCGACGGCUCCCGGUGUCAGAACAGCACCUGCCACUGCGCUCACCACUUGGAACUUGUUUUCAUUCAACCUCGUGUUGACUGUGACUGCCCGCUAUGUCCCUAACUGGUUGGGUAAGCAAGUAACUUCUCUGUGACCCAGUGUCCUCAUCUGUAAAGUGGGUAUCCUCAGGAUGUCCACGUCAUGGGGUCACAGAGCUGGGGACAGGAUAUGCUGUUCUUCACCCUGAAGUAAUGUAACUCUGGUUCAUUCUUUUUAAA